rnacentral:misc_RNA from 1 species
GAAAUGCGAUACGUAAUGUGAAUUGCAGAAUCCCGUGAAUCAUCAAAUUUUCGAACGCAUAUUGCGCUCUUGGGUAUUCCUAAGAGCAUGCCUGUUUGAGUGUCAGUAUCAAACCUCAAACCCUGUUGGGUUUGGAUUUGGGCCUUCUCAGAAACGAAUUUUCGGAUCCGAGUUGGAUGCUUAAAUGUAUAGGAGGAUAAAACGUUUACCCUUUUGUUAGGCGUGAUAAUGGUGUGGUUUACAUCUUGAAUUUCGUCCAAGUUAGGGUCGGUUUAGUUUUUCUCCUUAAUCGCCUUAUUGUUAGGCAGCAGCAAAAGGGUGUGUGGGUAUUUCUCUCCCCCCUUUUGAAACUUGACCUCAAAUCAAGCAAGAUUACCCGCUGAACUUAA